AGUACCGUAGUUCAAAGGCUAGAGCACCCCACUGUCUAUGGGGAAGGUAUGGGUUCGAGUCCCAUCGGUACUGCAA
rnacentral:tRNA from 1 species